rnacentral:rRNA from 1 species
GACGAACGCUGGCGGCGUGCUUAACACAUGCAAGUCGAACGAAGUGGCGAACGGGUGAGUAACGCGUAAUCAACCUGCCCUUCAGAGGGGGACAACAGUUGGAAACGACUGCUAAUACCGCAUAGUGAAGGAGGGGAUUGAGUCUGAUUGGCUAGUUGGCGGGGUAACGGCCCACCAAGGCGAUGAUCAGUAGCCGGUCUGAGAGGAUGAACGGACACAUUGGGACUGGGACACGGCCCAGACUUCUACGGGAGGCAGCAGUGGGGAAUCUUCCGCAAUGGACGGAAGUCUGACGGAGGAACGCCGCCUGGGUGAGGACAGCCUUUGGGUUGGAAAGCUCUUUUAAUCGGGACGCGGUACCGGAAUAGAAAGCCACGGCUAACUACGUGCCAGCAGCCGCGGUAAUAC